AAAUUGAAGAGUUUGAUCAUGGCUCAGAUUGAACGCUGGCGGCAGGCCUAACACAUGCAAGUCGAACGGUAACAGGAAGCAGCUUGCUGCUUCGCUGACGAGUGGCGGACGGGUGAGUAAUGUCUGGGAAACUGCCUGAUGGAGGGGGAUAACUACUGGAAACGGUGGCUAAUACCGCAUAACGUCGCAAGACCAAAGAGGGGGACCUUCGGGCCUCUUGCCAUCAGAUGUGCCCAGAUGGGAUUAGCUAGUUGGUGAGGUAACGGCUCACCAAGGCGACGAUCCCUAGCUGGUCUGAGAGGAUGACCAGCCACACUGGAACUGAGACACGGUCCAGACUCCUACGGGAGGCAGCAGUGGGGAAUAUUGCACAAUGGGCGCAAGCCUGAUGCAGCCAUGCCGCGUGUAUGAAGAAGGCCUUCGGGUUGUAAAGUACUUUCAGCGGGGAGGAAGGUGUUGUGGUUAAUAACCACAGCAAUUGACGUUACCCGCAGAAGAAGCACCGGCUAACUCCGUGCCAGCAGCCGCGGUAAUACGGAGGGUGCAAGCGUUAAUCGGAAUUACUGGGCGU
rnacentral:rRNA from 1 species